rnacentral:rRNA from 1 species
CGGAGAUUAUGGAGCUUGCUUUAUAUAACUUAGCAGCGAACGGGUGAGUAACACGUAGAUAAUCUAUCCUAUACUGGGGGAUAGCCCGAUGAAAGUUGGAUUAAUACCGCAUAUAGCUAUAUAGUUGCAUGAUUAUGUAGUGAAAGAUUUAUUGGUAUAGGAGGAGUCUGCGGCACAUUAGCUAGUAGGUGAGGUAAAGGCUUACCUAGGCGACGAUGUGUAGCCGGUCUGAGAGGAUGAACGGCCACAAUGGAACUGAGACACGGUCCAUACUCCUACGGGAGGCAGCAGUGGGGAAUAUUGCACAAUGGGGGAAACCCUGAUGCAGCAACGCCGCGUGAGUGAAGAAGGUUUUCGGAUUGUAAAGCUCUGUUAGCAGGGAAGAGGAAGGACGGUACCUGCAGAGGAAGCCACGGCUAACUACGUGCCAGCAGCCGCGGUAAUACGUAGGUGGCAAGCGUUGUUCGGAAUAACUGGGCGUAAAGGAUGCGUAGGCGGUUAAACAAGUUAUAUGUUAAAUAUAUAGGCUUAACCUGUAGAAAGCAUAUAAAACUGUUUAACUAGAGUGCAGGAGAGGUAAGUGGAAUUCCUAGUGUAGCGGUGAAAUGCGUAGAGAUUAGGAAGAACACCAGUGGCGAAGGCGACUUACUGGACUGUAACUGACGCUGAGGCAUGAGAGCAUGGGGAGCAAACAGGAUUAGAUACCCUGGUAGUCCAUGCUGUAAACGAUGGGUACUAGGUGUGGGUUGUGAAUAACAAUUCGUGCCGUCGCAAACGCAAUAAGUACCCC